CAACGACUCCGCCUUUACAGUCAAUAUUUCCAAUGUGUUCUACAAGCCAAUAAAAAGAAAGGGGAGACAAAUACAUAAUGAAUGUUCACAUAACAGCCAGGAUGUGUACCAUGGAGAGGUUGUGAGGGAGAGAGAUAGGGAGGGAAGAAAAGAAUAUCUUUUUCGUUGGCAGCCUUGCGCAUCUUGUGGCAAGAAGUGGCGGAGUACAUGGGUGUCCGAGGAUGCUGUACAGUAGUUUGCGAACUAUUUGCUUCUGUUUAAAUUCAUAAACAUUUGACAUAUCAAUGCAUAUAAUGAAAUAAAUACAAAAUAUGAGUAGUAAUUGUGCUUCAAUGAAUUUGUUUUAACAAAUACAUUGUACUUGAACAGUGGAUGCAUGCCUAUGUUAAUCUUGCAAAACAGCAAAGCAUCUAUCACAUAAUACAUCCUACAAUAAAGUAUUGUGUUCUGCAAUGAAGUGUGUUUAAUGUUGUACAUUAAAAAUGGGGUUUCAUUAAAAAAUAAAUUUAUGAUUGAUUUGUAAGAAAGGUAUCCUGAUUCUUUUAAUAAAAUGAUACAGUAACAUUGAUAUAACAUGCUGUGGUAAAUACAGUAAACAUGCCAGGUUUCAGUUACUUGGGAGGAAUGCUGCAAAAUGCAUUACAGGACUAGGUUAUAGGUUAUAAUUCUACAGACACUUUUGGCACAACUUUGUCUAGGAUAUGUACUAGGGAAUUAUCAACAUGGAUCCUUUACUGCAUUAUAAAAUAGAACAUACACCGUACCAAGGAAGCAUUUAAGGAAGUG